CCUACGGGAGGCAGCAGUGAGGAAUAUUGGUCAAUGGGCGGAAGCCUGAACCAGCCAAGUCGCGUGAGGGAUUAAGGCCCUAUGGUUCGUAAACCUCUUUUGGCAGGGAGCAAUGGCGUCCACGUGUGGGCGUAUGGAGAGUACCUGAAGAAAAAGCAUCGGCUAACUCCGUGCCAGCAGCCGCGGUAAUACGGAGGAUGCGAGCGUUAUCCGGAUUUAUUGGGGUGAAAGGGUGCGUAGGCGGGACCUUAAGUCAGCGGUAAAAUUGCGGUGCUCAACGCCGUAGAGCCGUUGAAACUGGGGUUCUUGAGUGAGCGAGAAGUAUGCGGAAUGCGUGGUGUAGCGGUGAAAUGCAUAGAUAUCACGAAGAACUCCGAUUGCGAAGGCAGCUCACUGGACUGCAACUGACACUGAUGCUCGAAAGUGUGGGUAUCAAACAGGAUUAGAUACCCUAGUAGUC
rnacentral:rRNA from 1 species